GUUCAAAUUAUGUCGAAACAGCAGUUCCCAUAUAAUCACCAAAGUUCAGCAUUGUUGAGCUUGGUCAGUACUUAGAUGGGUGACUGCUUGGAAAUACCAGACGCUGUAUG